rnacentral:lncRNA from 1 species
AGAGUUUUUUAAUUUGCCAGAGUUUUUUAAGACUGAAUAAACUUGGACGAGGAUGAACGCCGAUAUCAGCCGAUAUUGCGAUCGGUAUCUGCGGCUGCUGAAAAAAUCUUUGAGACUCCACAAAACCUUAAAUUGUUGAGGUAUAUACACAGGAGCAACUCACGUGCAUGUGUGACCUUUUUGAGAAGAAACCACGCAAGACUGUUGGUUAGCAAUCACCAUGUAAAAGGGUUUGCAGAAACCAGACAGAGGGCCUGGGUGGAGAUGCUAUUGGCUGCCUAGGUCGGACUGCCUCCAACCUGAGGUGGUCUUGGAGUGAUCUAACAUUAGAGUGAAUGGUUACGCUAGGAAUCAGACAAAGACUGGAGGUGAACAGUUUGGUAAAGUGAAGUCAAAAUGGAAAUCGUGCUGGCAGUCAUGAGGAACAAGGCCAAGCAUUGGGUCCAUCCAUGGCCAGGAGACAGAGACUGAGACAUCUGAGCAACUGCUUUCACAUAAGGCAGCCUGCUUCUGGACAUGGGGAAGCCAGAGAAAGAGAAGGAGGUUGAGGGGGAGCCUCAAGCUGUUCCCGAGGCACCAUUGACAUCCAGGGUAGAUGGGAUCUACCGGUAGUUGAUUGUGUAGGACACCAAGAUGAAACCCAGCGUAAGAGAAGGUGCCCUUCCUGUUUUGACCAGCACACCGAGUACCAGGAGCAUGGAUCUGCUGCAAGUUCAACAGGAGACUCAGAAUGCAGCAAGCUAUGCUGCAAAUAUUUUAAAUAAAAAAUCAUCCAUGAUGAUUUUAAAAUUAUCCUUAAUUGUUUGCAGCAGUUUUUUUUGUUCGUAUUUUACUACUGAUGUCCAUUAACAUCUACAAUAAAUAUUACCCGUGUUCUAAGCAAAUCUUGCUGAAUUUUAAAGAAGGCAUCAACUACUUAUUGGUGCAUAUACUCCACCUUUUUUUUAUGAUGUUCCCUUGUUUUCCUGCUGAAAAGCUCAAUGCAGCUUUAACUUAAGCAAAAUAUGAACAAAAAUCUUUAUUUGUAGAAAUCCAUACAGCAAUAUCUAUAUUACAGAGAUUGGGCAAGAUUGUUUCAUUGACAGUUACUAAUUAAAAUAAUUAAUUUCAUGUUAUUUAUGAUAGUUUCUCAAACAAUUUCCAUUGAAAAUGAAAUAAAUGAAAUGUAUGAGAAAUUUUAAGAACAAUAUUCAUCAAAAAGAAUCGUUUGCUGCUGCUAUUGUUUUUUUUUAAGAAGCAAAUUUUACAUUUUAAAAUAAACCAGGCUAUGUUGGCUUUUAUGAAUUCAUCUUUUCUGUCAACUCUAAAAAUAGUAGCUUCAAUGCCACAUACAAUUUAUAUUCUUCUGGAAUUAAUAUUGAAAUUAUUUUAUUAGAUGUUUUCAUCAUCUGUAGAAUUUUUAGUAAAACUUGAACUGCAGAAACACUUCAAAAGAAGAAAUGAGUAGACUGAAAACCUGUUGAAUAUUCUUUUUAGAAAAUGAAGUAAAAUCACCUUGAACUUUGGAAAUUUCCAAAAGCAUAUGUUUGAGCAAGUAAUAUGAAAAUGAGUUUUGCCUAGGUCACAUUACGGCGAGUAGAAAUAAGCCGUUUUAUGUAUUAUUAUACGAACCACCUACAUGAAGCUGGUACAAGGAUGAAUAAAAUGGCUGAUUUCGACUAGCCGUAAGGCCACCGGCCGGCAAAUGUGACCUAGGCAUAAAUUGCUGAUGUCAUUGCCUCAUAAUUUUAUACAAAAUAAUGGCAAAGACUACAUCCUUUAGGAUUGAGAAAGUUAAACUUGAACUUUAUUCUCAUCUCAGUAGAUAGAAGAUAAUGUUAUUCAUCAAUACUUGAAUAAAAUUUGAACAAGUGCCUUGCAAUGCAACAUAAAAAUUAAGGUUCUGAAAUCUUAAAGGGAAUCCCUGUGCAAGAACAGUUUUAAAGUUUAUUUAUACAUGUUCAUCUUGCAAGUCUGUUAUAUUUUCUGUCAGCAUUGUUUGUGGAUCCCACACUGGUGUCAUAAGCCAUGGUUCUUAUAUAUAUAUCCUGCAUUGCCCAACAGGAUGCCUUGCAAUUCGCCAUCUGCAAAAGGUUAUCCAAUGGCACUGUUCUGUUGAUUUAAAAGGAAAGGGACCUUGUCAACAUUCAAUCACAUCUUUCAAUAUGCAUACAAUGGUAUGGGAUACUGUUAGCAUUGAAAUUAAAAUAUGAAUUGAUAAGAAUUAUUUUCAAUUAAAUUCAAACUAUUAUUAUUGUUCAUAAUGAGUUCUUUGAACUGUCACUCUGAUUGUUCUUAAUAAGUGAUUGCAAAUAAAAUUAUUUCAAAU